GAAGGAGGGCCCAGGAUCUGUGAGUUGCCUGGGAUGCCACGCCCGAAGUCGGCUCCCGUGAGGGAUCUCCGGUGUCAGACUUCACACCCUUUCCCCUAAUGCCCCACGUUCCCGGGCACCGCAGGAAUCCCUUCCCUCUUUGCCCAGGACCGGCUUUCGAGCGCCCGCUCAGCCCUUCGCCUGGGAGGCAGGUGUUCCAGGUCAUACAGCUGGUGAUGGACCUUCAUUAACACCUACGUGAUCUUUCUGCAAAGCCCAUGUUCUUCUGGGGACAACUCCAGCACAGCCAGCAGAGCCUGGCAUGGAGAGGACAUGCGCUGAGCCUGAGAUGAAUGGGAGGUUAGUGAGGGCGGCACCGGCAGAACAAAGGAGACUGGCACACGUGAAAACCUUGCGAAAGCAAAACAAGGCCAAUAACUAAACCCACCUCCCGGGACCGUGGUGAAGAUGAAAUGAGACCAAGAAGCCAGGGGCUGGGCACAGCACCUGCACGUGGUACUUGAUAAGCGCCCCCGUACCCUCUAAGGUAGGCAUGUGGUCUGUGUCAAAGACAGAGAAGCUGACGCUCCGCAAGCUUUCAGUGGCCCAGGGCCAUCACGCUGGGAAAUGGUACAGCCAGGAUUUGAACACAGCUGUUGUGGAUUCUGUGCGCCAAGUCAGCUGCCACCCUUAUGGUGUCUCCCUUGCCUCUGGGACAAAGGGAGCAGGAAGCAGCUCCCUCACUCAGCCUGGUCUCCUCUUCUCCAGCAAUAUUCACUCCUCCCGGGAUGUGGUGUCAGGAGCCCAUACUCAGGCAGCCCUGGAGGGCAGAGGCAGGCAAUGGGCACCAAACUCUGCUCAGCAAGUACAGAGCAAGGGGCUGUGCCUGUGCCAAAGCCACCUGUUCAUCUGCCCAUCUCCCCAAUUUAUCCAUCCAUCUGUCCACCUGUUCAUCCGCCCAUCUAUCCAUCUGCUCAUUCGUCCAUCCAUCCAUCCAUCCA